GGCCGGUUAGCAUAGCGGUAGUGCAACCCGAGGCUGUGGGCUUGCCCACAGCCUUCCGACGAAAGCCGAUACUUGUCGGUUUCCGUCGGGAAGGCGGAGGUUCAAAUCCUCUACCGGCCACCA
rnacentral:tRNA from 1 species